GUAGUCGAUGGGAAACAGGUUAAUAUUCCUGUACUUGGUGUUACUGCGAAGGGGGGACGGAGAAGGCUAUGUUGGCCGGGCGACGGUUGUCCCGGUUUAAGCGUGUAGGCUGGUUUUCCAGGCAAAUCCGGAAAACCAAGGCUGAGGCGUGAUGACGAGGCACUACGGUGCUGAAGUGACAAAUGCCCUGCUUCCAGGAAAAGCCUCUAAGCAUCAGGUAACAUCAAAUCGUACCCCAAACCGACACAGGUGGUCAGGUAGAGAAUACCAAGGCGCUUGAGAGAACUCGGGUGAAGGAACUAGGCAAAAUGGUGCCGUAACUUCGGGAGAAGGCACGCUGAUAUGUAGGUGAAGCGACUUGCUCGUGGAGCUGAAAUCAGUCGAAGAUACCAGCUGGCUGCAACUGUUUAUUAAAAACACAGCACUGUGCAAACACGAAAGUGGACGUAUACGGUGUGACGCCUGCCCGGUGCCGGAAGGUUAAUUGAUGGGGUUAGCGGUAACGCGAAGCUCUUGAUCGAAGCCCCGGUAAACGGCGGCCGUAACUAUAACGGUCCUAAGGUAGCGAAAUUCCUUGUCGGGUAAGUUCCGACCUGCACGAAUGGCGUAAUGAUGGCCAGGCUGUCUCCACCCGAGACUCAGUGAAAUUGAACUCGCUGUGAAGAUGCAGUGUACCCGCGGCAAGACGGAAAGACCCCGUGAACCUUUACUAUAGCUUGACACUGAACAUUGAGCCUUGAUGUGUAGGAUAGGUGGGAGGCUUUGAAGUGUGGACGCCAGUCUGCAUGGAGCCGACCUUGAAAUACCACCCUUUAAUGUUUGAUGUUCUAACGUUGGCCCGUAAUCCGGGUUGCGGACAGUGUCUGGUGGGUAGUUUGACUGGGGCGGUCUCCUCCUAAAGAGUAACGGAGGAGCACGAAGGUUGGCUAAUCCUGGUCGGACAUCAGGAGGUUAGUGCAAUGGCAUAAGCCAGCUUGACUGCGAGCGUGACGGCGCGAGCAGGUGCGAAAGCAGGUCAUAGUGAUCCGGUGGUUCUGAAUGGAAGGGCCAUCGCUCAACGGAUAAAAGGUACUCCGGGGAUAACAGGCUGAUACCGCCCAAGAGUUCAUAUCGACGGCGGUGUUUGGCACCUCGAUGUCGGCUCAUCACAUCCUGGGGCUGAAGUAGGUCCCAAGGGUAUGGCUGUUCGCCAUUUAAAGUGGUACGCGAGCUGGGUUUAGAACGUCGUGAGACAGUUCGGUCCCUAUCUGCCGUGGGCGCUGGAGAACUGAGGGGGGCUGCUCCUAGUACGAGAGGACCGGAGUGGACGCAUCACUGGUGUUCGGGUUGUCAUGCCAAUGGCACUGCCCGGUAGCUAAAUGCGGAAGAGAUAAGUGCUGAAAGCAUCUAAGCACGAAACUUGCCCCGAGAU
rnacentral:rRNA from 1 species